CAUGCCGCGUGUAUGAAGAAGGCCUUCGGGUUGUAAAGUACUUUCAGCGGGGAGGAAGGGAGUAAAGUUAAUACCUUUGCUCAUUGACGUUACCCGCGGAAGAAGCACCGGCUAACUCCGUGCCAGCACCGUCGGUGACUGAGCGGGCUGGCAAGGCGCAUA
rnacentral:rRNA from 1 species